GAGAGAUGAGAACAUAGGGGGCUUAUGUGAGAAGAGGUUAGUAGUGUUUUCUUUCUUUGUCCCUCUGUAAGAAGGGCUAGGCCAGAGGGAUAGAGGUAGUCCCUGGGAAAGGGGCAAGACCCAGACAAGAGGCAGAACCUGGGCUGACCUUUCAGGAGAAGAACAAGGAGCAGAGAGGACCUAGGAAGAGGCCUGAGAACCAGAGCAGAGGCUGCAUUAACUACAGGUCAACAGGGAAAUAGUACAAGGAGUGGCUUGGAGGGGUUCAUUUGAACUUUGGUGUGACCCUCUGGCCAAGCCAUGGAAGACCCACCAAGGUCAGCGGACAACCUACAGGGGGCACCAGAGACAAGAAAAGGGCUACAGUACACACCUAGCUACUAGAAGACGCUCAAUAGGCUGGGAGCGUUGAUCUACUCGGUGACCUAGAGGAGAGCAAAGGAAAAUGGGAAACAAGGAACCGGUAACGAAGAAAGGUUCCCCCCUGCCCUAAGUGAGACCACAGACAUCAUGGGGUCGGUGCUCCAUUGGAGUACGAGGUGGUGAUGGAACCAAGGUGUAACCACUUUUCAUGACCUGUUCCCCUAACAAACAGAGGCAUUUGCCAAUGGAUGGAAACAGAACAGAAGUUCCUCAGAGCUGUGAGAACUUCCUCUCCCUGCUUUCUACAACACUGAAAGAUGAAGACAUUACUCGGGAACCUGAUGAGCCAAAGGUUUUGGAUUAAUGGACUGAGUCAUGCAGCCAAGAUGAAGAGGAAGGGAGUUCAUGAGGAAGGUAAUCCAUCCAGCCCCUGGUCAUAUUUUUUGGUUUGUGUCACUGCUGGCUGGAAUUGUUGUCUACAUUAGUAUGACCAGAAAUUGUCAUAUUCUUGAGAGAAGGUUUCCUUCAAGAUUCCUUGCCAAGUUUUGUAGCCAUCAGAAAAAAGACCUUUUCCCUUGGAUCUUCAAAUGCUUCACAUGAUAAAUAAGCCUUACAACACUCCUAUGAUAUGGAUUGUGCUCCGGCAGGUGCCAGCGAUUGAAACCAACUGAGGACCCGAAAAAGCAAGUGCAAUAGGACUGUGUGUCUGUUUAGUGGUUUAGCAAUAAAUUAUUAUAACCCAGA